CCAACUGCAAGUGACAAGUAUUCAUUCAGGGAGCCAUGAUGUUAGGCAAAGAUUUCAGGACGAAAUGGCGAUUCUCCUGGAUAAAAUAUGGUGCCUGGUGUGUUCAAAGCUACCCGCUCUUCCCGGCCACAACAACAACGUUCACCAGUGCAUUCAAGAGACGAAGAUAUGUCCCCAUGGAGAAGUUACAACAGUCAAAAUGCACCUUUUGAUUUCAAUAAUCCUGAGUGUGGACAUUUGAAAGAAGCCUGUAAUCCAACAGUUAAAAUUGAUAUGUUUCUUAACAUUUUUGUGUUAUUAAGGGUUUACUUGCAAAUUAUGUACGUGCCUAUUGAAUAUGUAUGAAUUAUAGUGACCGUUUGCCUCAGAUUUCAGCCUUGAAUAGUACUAGGGCAAGUAGGCAUUGCUUAGCAUGUAAGGCCAAAUACCGAGGCAAAUGACUACACGGUCCCUACAUUUGUAACAUAUUGUCCCACCAAAACGUAGAAAGAACUUUACCAGUUUUGUUUAAUUUUGGGUCUUCGGCGACUCCUAACGUGAGAGAAUGCGCUAAAUUCCAAAACAGUUUUGGUUAUUUAAAAAUCUGUAUGCUAGAACACUUUGUUUUGCUUUGGAUUUAACUGUGUUAGUGCAAGUUGUCUUUUUCACUUAAAAAUAGGUAUGGCAUAAUAUUAGGAAAUGGUAAAUAAAGGUGAGACGGUACACAAACAGUACACCACUGAGAGUAAAUGUGUGUAUAAUUUUGUAGUCACCCCUGGCAAACCUUUAUCAGAAAGUUACUAUUUUGUAAGCGUCAUUUUGUACUUUUUCCAAUAUGAUUUUUCACUUUUUCUGUAACUUUGAACAUUUUGUCAGUCUUGUUCGUGCUCUUCAAAGUGUAUGGCUACAUUGUCCCAUUUAAGCUUCUGUAUCAACAUAUGCUAUCUUUAUUUGACAUAUUUAACGUUUAUACAUGUAUUUCACAAUCCUUUAAAAACUUUGAACUAUAGGUUGCGAAUUUUAUUAUUAUUAUUAUUAUUAUUAUUAUUAUUAUUAAGUCUGCAAUUUUUGGCUGUCUAAAUACAGAACCAUGACCACCAGUGUCCUUUCCAUCAUAACGAGAUAUAUAUAUAUAUAUAUAUAGUUUGGAGGAGUGUGCACAUUAAUUUUUCUUGCAUUACACUGGGAGGUGGGAUUCUUACGAUUACUAUGAAUAAAGUCAGAUGUUUGGAUUGUCGUACAUUGAAGUAACAAAUUUAGUGCCGUUAUCUUGAUAUUGUGUAAUUUGAGCCGUGCUUUAAUAAUAUUAUUGAAGUUAAACGAAUAAAGCCUAUUCAUUACUUUCAA